AAGAAUAUAAAGGAGAAACUUAAUGUAAUAAUCAUUGCUGUUCCCACAUAUUACAAGUUUUGAUUGAAUAUAAAGAGAGGUUGGUCUGCACCAAUUUUUUUUUUGUACAGAAACCAUUCUUUUUUUUUCCCAUUCUUUUUUUUUUUUCAUAAUAUAUCCUACAUCCAACGAGGCCUUAAAAUACAUUAUUACAACCCCACUUUCAAAGAUCUACACUUGCCUUUCCACCUUUCUCUGAUUUUCUUAUUUUUUUUUAUAAAUAUAGAAUUCUAUUCCUAUACUAAAAAUAAACAAGUAAGUAACAUAAUUUAAUCCAAAUACAUCAAUAGAAAACAAUAUGGAAAAAUAUUGUAAGAAGGGGUAAAAUAGUCUUUCACAUUCUCCUCUUCUCCUUGUAAUGAUUAAAGACACUUGUUUCUUCUUUGUUGUGCCUUAAUCAUCAGAACGGUCAUUUUCCUUUUUUACCCUUGAUUGAAUUCCAUAAUAACUCACAUACCACUUAACAAAUUUCCUCAACCCAAUAGACAAAUCAGUGGUAGGCUUAUAACCAAAAUCCCUUAACGCAAGGCUCACGUUAGCAUGAGUAAACGGAACGUCACCGUUUCGUGGCAUUUUGACCACAUUCUUUUUAGCCUUAACACUCAACAAAUUUUCAAGAAUAGACACUAAUUUCCUCACCGACACAGGCGAAGUAUUACCCAAAUUAUAAACCCUCAACUGCGCCGGACCUUUUUUCUUUCCGCCGCUGCCGGUGCUCUUCUCCGCCGUAUCCAGCGCUCCAACACACCCUUUUACUAUAUCAUCAAUGUACGUGAAAUCACGCGCCACCUCCUUAUCAUCUUGUGUUACGUAAACAUUAAUUGAUUUACCUUGUAUCAUAUCCUUAGUAAAGAAAAAAUAAGCCAUAUCGGGUCUACCCCAUGGACCAUAAACAGUAAAAAAUCUUAACCCGGUUAAAGAAAGACCGUAAAUAUGGUUAUAUGUAUGUGCAAUUUCUUCACCUGCUUUUUUUGUUGCUGCAUAUAAACUUGCGGGUUGAUCCGUUUUGUGCUCUUCUGAAAAUGGUACUUUGGUAUUUAACCCGUAAACCGAACUGGACGAUGCCCAAACGAUUGCGGGUUGAGGGUUAGCUGACUUGGCGACUUCUAAUAAGUUAACAAAUCCAGCUAUAUUUGAUUUGACAUAAGAGAGAGGAUUUUGCAUUGCGUAGCGAACGCCAGCUUGUGCAGCUAAAUGAAGGAUAUGAGUAAAGGGAACAAUGUCGAAGAGUUUAUUGAGAAGUUCGACGUCGUUUAUGUCACCUUCGACGAUAAAUAUUUGGUGUUUUGAUAGGAGAUUUUGGCGAGCACGUUUUAAAGAAGGAUCGUAGUAGGAAUUGAAGUUGUCAAGGCCAAGAACACCGUCGCCACGUUUCUUUAAUGCUAAGGAAGAGUGGGACCCAACGAAGCCAGCAGCGCCGGUGACGAGGACGGAGAAGCCGUUGGGGCGGCUAGGAGUGGCGGAGCGACGGACUUGUUUCUCCCACGACGCUCCGCCUCCGUAGAAGGCGGAGGAGAGGAGGUUGUGGGUGGUGGUAUGAAUGUUGUUGUGUGAAUUAGUGUUAUCUGAAGCUAAUGGAGGGUAGU
rnacentral:lncRNA from 1 species